GCUCACGAGUGCACUGGAGAAAUCCACAGAAAUCCUUCUCCUACAGUCGCAAAAGGCAAUCCUUCGUCCUUUGUUUCAAUCGCGAUGGUCACCCGGCCGUCUGCUAGAUGCAGUCGCGGCGGCUGGGGUGUUCGAAAAAAUGCGAGCAUCGAUCUCAAAUCUAGGAUUCGAACUCUGAUGGGUUAGAAAUACCAGCCAGCCUCCCAAUCAUUUAACCACAUGUCGAUUCACGGGUAGCACAAUAUAGUUGGAGAUAUAGAUCAACAUGCCCUUGCUACACUACGGAACGAGGAAAGAUAAGGAACAACAAAAGAAUGUACUGAGACAUUGAUCAAAUCGAUGUCAUAAAGUUGAUAGGUACACAUAGCACAAUCAAACAUACGGUUCCCAUCCGAUAAAACGCUUCUUCUAAGCCGAACAUUUAGAACAUAUACCGAAUUCUUGUCAAACCUACAAAAAAAAGGAAAAUCGUCAAAAAUAAAUAUUUGCAAACGAUGUUGGUCAAAUAGUAAUCAGAUAAUUACAGGAGAAAAUCUUAGCAAAAAUUGACAAAAUGUUAAACUGCAGCUGGCCACAAGCAUACAUAUUCCUUAAACUAAAAUACAUUUACUCACAACCAGAAUGUGCUAAAAAUGCUAAAUUGCAAAAUUUCUUCUAGUAGUUGUUGCCUCGCGAACCUGAAAUAGUAUUCAACAUGAACACAACAGUAUCAUUUUUUUAGGGGAAUCUAAAUCUGCCAAGAGACUAUAUAAUGUGGGUACACUUCGAGCGCUCCGUCUCGUCUCCAGCCAUGGUAUGCCAGCCCACGACAUGGUGUGUUUGAGCGAGUAUCUGCAAAAUGAGAGUCAGAUAGGAUUUGCUCAACCAUGGAACUAAACUAAUUAAGAGAUACUUCUUUUAUAACAUUUCCAACAAUUAUGUCGGUUCAUUUUGGUAUAUGAGUAUACAGUCAUGAAUAGUGUCUUAGAAAAGAAUAACGCCAUUUCCCAUGGGAUUUCAAGUAUAUAUAACUUACACAAUAUCAAAAUUUACUUGAGAGAUUAAAACUGAUAUAUGAACUCAAAGGAGUUUGGGAUAACACAUCAUCUAGGAGAUGGAAGGGACGUGUUGAAGUCAUAAAAAAUCUAUCUAGCUACAAGCAACACUGCACUCAUUGGCACAUAUUAGACAAAAUGUUAGAAGGCUAUUAUUAGUGCUACAUAUCUUAUAUCAUAUAGCAGUUCCAAGUCGAUCUCACACAACUACAGAGUAUGUAUAUGCUUUUUGAAAAAGCGAUUAUUUCAGAUUAUGUUCAACACAGAAUAACAUAUAGCGAGCUGGGAAGCUAAAUUACUAGAUACAAAGUGUGUGACUCAAGAACUUAUGUACUUAAUUAUACAUUUAGUCGUCCUUGAUCAUGAUCCUCUAUUUAUCUGGCACCAAAACAUGCCAAGUACAAAAAUCUGUCACAAGCCAAAAUGAAAAAACAGUCUAGAUACUGAAUAGCAAAUCUGGUACCAACCCGAUGAUGGAGUACAGUGAAUUUCACCAAGGAUGAACUGCAAGCUUCCGCAAAGAAUCAAGUAGGAAGUCUAAAUCUGCAGCUCACAAGGUACUGAGCGGAUCCACAACCGAUUCGUUCUAAACAUUUAACAAAUCACAUGUUUAGGAGAGACUACAGUUUCAAUCACACACAGAUCUGAUACACAUCUGUACUAAAAAAUUGACCAAUUUCUCAGGUCUGAUAGGACAAAUACAUAAAUUAUGAAGGGAUGAUCGUCGCUGGGAACGGACACAAUGGCUCGUGGUAAUUGGCAUCAGUGCCACCAGGAAUGAGUAGUUCGCCACCGGCACAAAUCCUCCGUGUCUACAAUGCCUGGGCCAAUCAUGGCGUUCCUGGCGCUGGUAGGCUAUAUGAAAAAAGGGUCUAGGUCGAGAACCAAGGCCUGCACAAAAGAGACUCAAGCAAACAACGAAAAAUGGAGCAACUUACUAUAGAGAACAUACUUGGACAUGGCAGCAAGCCAGCAACCACUGCUAUCCUCUUUGUCUCCAAUUGACUGCACAACCGGAUCUAGAAGGAGAGCUACUCGGGCAUGCUCAAAGCAAAAUCUGAUUUAUUGAGACCCUAAUUAUCGAGGUGGUAUUUGGUUGAGCUGUGGAUUUCAGAAAAGCUGCCGUGAGCUGUCAGAAAGCAGCCGUGAGGUGGUAACUGUGAAAAAGCUGAAAGUUGAGCAACCGCGAAACUGUGCUUUUGAUAGAAAUUGUCUGUAAUGUCCCUGAAGCUCCGGGAAAAUGUUCAUGCGCUACUUGAUCGUAAAACAACGAUCUAUAAACGGAUUGACAAAUAAAUGACCAUUAUAGAAAGAAACAAAUACUCCACUUUUUUAAGUUAUUUUUUUUUGGAAAUGGAGGAUGUACCGGCCUCUGCAUCUGGACGAUGCAUGCAACCAUAUUAUUAAUUAUUCACAAAGACCAUACAAGGUGAUACAUCAAUAAGCCUGAAGCCACCAACUUGGCAACGCUGUUGCUACUCCUAUCCCCUUGAUGAAGGUGUGCCGAAUGUCCGGGCCUAAUACCAAACAGACAUCGCACCAAAACCUAACAUCUCAAGCCGGGUGUCCCAUCCAAGCCACUACCUGGAAUGGGUCCCACACCGGUCUGGCACACUCACAGUGAGCACCGCACGCUGCAAGGGCCGUCACCUCCAUCUUCCAUCGGUCCAUCCUCAGAGCAGAACUGAUGCACCGACCUUGCCAGGCCUCUCUGCCAUCAACGCCACCAUGACGCCAGACAGCUUCCUCCUCCUGCGCGAGUCCAUCUCCGCGCAUCAGACGCCGAGUCUCUACAGCGCCACGCCACCGAGAUCCGCCAUCAUCAAUGUGUAAGAUGAAGCACCGCUCCAUCAAAGACGCCGUCUUCCGGUCCCUCGAACCCAUGUGCACCUCCAAGAAUGAUGCCCCCAAGGGAGAAAUGACACCAGAGAGCCGCCGUCAUCCGAUCUACUGAUCUAGGGUUUCCCCCGGAGGUAGCAGAGAGUGGCCUUGAAUUUCUUCACGGCGAUGCCUUCAGGAAGGGAACGACGCAGAGAGCGUCGCCGUCGCCGGCCUUGGCAAUAGCCAAUAGUAGGUUUUCACCCAGAUCUGUUCGAAGACCUCCAUCUCUCGUGCACGGGCCGCCGCCAUCCCUGCCGGGAUCUGAAUGAUCCAGGCCACCGCGGCCAGAUAACAGCAAGGAGAAGUCCCCCCACCGAAACCGGCCGGCCGAGCAGGAAAGGCCGAGACCGCGCCCGCAGGACCAGAUCCGCGAUGGAUCCGUGCCCGUGCCGCCGCCCCGGAGCCAACCCCACGCGUAGAUGCCACAGCCUGGCCGCCCGCUCGCGCCGCCCGACGUGCCCUCUCUGCAUCAGCACCAAGACUCCGCCGCGCCGCUGCAUCUCGCGCUACAGCCGCACGCCGGGAGGAGAAGAAAGGCCCCGCCGCCGCCGACGCGCACCGGGCUUCGUUCUGGCGGCGGCGAGGGGAGGGGAUGGUGUAGGAGGCGGGCGCGGAGUGGAGGCUAGGGUUCCCCCGCCGCCGCCCGCGAGAGCGACGCGAGGGACGAUGGAAGUUAUAAUAAGGUUAAUAAUCUGAACAAUAGCAUAAUAAAUAAAUUGAACAUACAUAUAUGAUUCAACGUUAAUGUAUUCCAAAUUUGCUGCAGUACUUUAGAACAUCCGUACAAACUUUUCAUAGAAAUUUGGCCACAUAUUAAUCAUCUCAAUACAACCAGACGCCAUUGCACGAGAAGGCGUUCACGAGCUGCAGGUUUGCUGCGGCCGUGAAGUUGAGACGAAGAUGUGAGGUGAAAUUUAUUGAAAGAAAGGAAAUUACCUUGUGCGCUCUGUUGUGCUAGUUUCCUGCGCGUCCAUCGGUGGCUCGCCGCUGCUAGCUUCCUGCUCCGCCGUCACCGUGCAGCUGUAUCCUAGCGUGGUUGAAUCGGUGUCAGAUGUCAGAAUUGGAGCCUGGAUGGAUGCGAGGGAUGCGGGGCAGGGAAGGGGAGCGGCCAGAGUUGGGGCGGCGUGGCCGGAGUUUGGGCGGCAAAGAGAGGAGAGGGGACCGGCGGUGCCGCGGUGGGGAGUCUGGGAGUUAUCGAAGACUCUGUUUCUAUCGCGAGAGACGAAGAACUUCCAG
rnacentral:lncRNA from 1 species